UUAUUUCCCUCUCUCCAUCUCAUUGCUUUCCCUCUCUUUAUCCCCACGAAACCUUCUUCAUCUCUUAUCUCCAUCUCCACCAAGCCCACUUGAACAACUGCUCGAAUUAACCACGACCGAUGACCAUUGCAAUUUCUUCUUCGAUGAGGAAGACCCAUGAUUGACGGCGAACAUCAACCAUGACGAGAAUCAAAUCCAACCAGUCGGCGAUUGACCAUGAUGACUAUUUUAAAUAUGUCAUCGACAGUCGAUUUUGAUUUGAAAAUGGGAUCAGAUAUAACCAGUCAAAUUGCCCAAGUGAAGUAAUGGUUGGGAUCCAAAUUCGGCAGGUUCGAUGAGAAAUUCCUGAUUUUGAAUAAACCCCUUUUAGCAUCUCUCGCUUUCCCAAUCUCUACAAUCUCUCCCAAACAAAGACACACGGCACUGAGAUUUUGGCCAAAUACUUCCACUUCAAGUUUGUCGAGUACCGUGCCCAAGAUUUUGAAGCAGAAACUGAACUCAUGACAACUUUCGUUCAUCUUAAGUUUGCAAACUCUGGUGCCAUAUUAUAUGUUGGUUCACUUUAUUUCUAAUCCACAUGAGCUCUACUUACCAAUUUGAAGUCUAAUAAAACUGCCGUAUCAAUAUUUCUAUUU